GCCGCCUCCUGCUCCUCCCGCCGCCUCCUGCUCCUCCCGCCGCCGCUGCUGCCCUGAGUCACUGCCUGCGCAGCUCCGGCCGCCUAGCUCCCCAUACUAGCCGCCGAUAUUUGGAGUUCUUACAACAUGGCAGACAUUGACAACAAAGAACAGUCUGAACUUGAUCAAGAUUUGGAUGAUGUUGAAGAAGUAGAAGAAGAAGAAACUGGUGAAGAAGCAAAAAUCAAAGCACGUCAGCUAACUGUUCAGAUGAUGCAAAAUCCUCAGAUUCUUGCAGCCCUUCAAGAAAGACUUGAUGGUCUGGUAGAAACACCAACAGGAUACAUUGAAAGCCUGCCUAGGGUAGUUAAAAGACGAGUGAAUGCUCUCAAAAACCUGCAAGUUAAAUGUGCACAGAUAGAAGCCAAAUUCUAUGAGGAAGUUCACGAUCUUGAAAGGAAGUAUGCUGUUCUCUAUCAGCCUCUAUUUGAUAAGCGAUUUGAGAUUAUUAAUGCAAUUUAUGAACCUACGGAAGAAGAAUGUGAAUGGAAACCAGAUGAAGAAGAUGAGAUUUCGGAGGAAUUGAAAGAAAAGGCCAAGAUUGAAGAUGAGAAAAAGGAUGAAGAAAAAGAAGACCCCAAAGGAAUUCCUGAAUUUUGGUUAACUGUUUUUAAGAAUGUUGACUUGCUCAGUGAUAUGGUUCAGGAACAUGAUGAACCUAUUCUGAAGCACUUGAAAGAUAUUAAAGUGAAGUUCUCAGAUGCUGGCCAGCCCAUGAGUUUUGUCUUAGAAUUUCACUUUGAGCCCAAUGAAUAUUUUACAAAUGAAGUGCUGACAAAGACAUAUAGGAUGAGGUCAGAACCAGAUGAUUCUGAUGCCUUUUCUUUUGAUGGACCAGAAAUUAUGGGUUGUACGGGGUGCCAGAUAGAUUGGAAAAAAGGAAAGAAUGUCACUUUGAAAACCAUCAAGAAGAAGCAGAAACACAAGGGAUGCGGGACAGUUCGUACUGUGACAAAAACAGUUUCCAAUGACUCUUUCUUUAAUUUUUUUGCCCCUCCUGAAGUUCCCGAGAGUGGAGAUCUGGAUGAUGAUGCUGAAGCUAUCCUUGCUGCAGACUUCGAAAUUGGUCACUUUUUACGUGAACGUAUAAUCCCAAGAUCAGUGUUAUACUUUACUGGAGAAGCUAUUGAAGAUGAUGAUGAUGAUUAUGAUGAAGAAAGUGAAGAAGCGGAUGAGGUAAUGUUUACCAAAUGAGCAUAUAUGUUUAACAAUUGAGAAGCAAAUUGAAUGACUUAUGUAUUCCUUUGCUAUAAUCAUUCUGUGAUUUGGGAUAAAAAACAUUUUGGAAAAUAUGAUUUUAGAAUUCUACAGCCAAACAAUGUAUGUAUAAGGUUUCAAUAAAUAAAUUGCAAAACUCAAAAAAAAAAAAAAAGAA